CCGGGCGCAAACCAGGCCCCAGAUUGCAGCAGGCCCACCCCACGCCCUCCCCUUCCGAUCGGAGCCAGCGGCCCUCCCCUUCGGGCCGCCGCCCACGUUCCUCCGCACAGGCCGCCACCAUCGCAGUUCUCCCGGAUUCAAACCAAUCUCGCGACGAAGGGCGGCCGCGAGAAGGUGCUCGAGGUCGUCUCUUUCUCCACAGCCGCGCCCCUGGAUGAGAGCCUCCGCGUGCUCUUGCUCUGGCGAUGCCGCCUCGGAUCUCCAUCUCGAUCUGUGAUGUGCUCGCCGGUGCCAUUGAAGCAGGAUCCCGUGCUUCCCAAAUCGGUGGCUCUUCCCUCCCUUCUUUCUCCAAUCUCCACCCCCAACCCGUUCGUAAUUCUAGACGAUGAUGCAUACUUCAUGUAAUUAAGCUGGUGACGUAUUGGAGGUGUUUGGUUCACUGUGUGUGAAAUAUCUGAUUGAUUCAGAAGCUGCGUGUGCACAUCAAUCUAAGUCGUUUUUUUAGUCCAAUGUUGUUUGUUCGGAUAUCACAAAGUUCGGCGUAUGUUGUUCGGAUAUCACAAAGCUCUGGUCAUCUCAAUUUCAUUUAUCCUAUCAUCAUUUGGUUCUAGCAAAUAUAUGUUCAUCCCUACAUCUAUAGUAGCUCCAUCAAUUACUUCCUUAAGAGCUGUAACUCAUAAUGUAGACUCUUAGUGCUUAUAUGCUUAGUACUUAUGCCUGUCAUGCUAAUAUUCAUGCAGUAUCUAGGACAUGAUUGGAGACUCUAGAAUUUGCAUUCCUUCAGUGAUUAUUAUUAUUUAGAUCAGGAAACAAGCCCAAGUAUUGUAGAUUAUCAUAUACAUUUCCUUUAUGAACAGAAAUAGCAAUUCUAUAAUCUGUUAGGCAAUACAUCUCCGUUUUGUGCAGGAAACUUCAGAAAUUAGGCUUUUCUUUGUAAAUGACCUCUCAGGACUGAUUUGACUCUUGUUCCGGUGGUCAUAAAUAAAAUACUCAUGGGAUUUUUUUUUGAAUGGUUAUUCCUGAGAUUAUGCUGAACUAACUAUGAGCAGUUUGGUGUGGUGUUUGGUUUGACUGGCCAAUUCGGUGCGGUGUUUCUGCAGGAUUUUCUGAAUCUAAAGCAAGGGUGGGUGCCUAGGAAGGACGCGCCGCCACGGGCGACGGUGGCGGGGCUUGCCGCUGGUGGCCACAAUAAUUAAGUGUUGUUCCUUAGAUCUACCAUCACUACACUGCUGCACAAUCUCAAGCAGGAGAAGUCUUCUUAUGUGGCGCAUAUGAACACUUACUUAGGUGAACACCCAUUGUUGAGGAAGUACUUGCCAAUUGACCCAUCUGAAAAGCACCUAUUUGAUCUUAUUAGAGACGGCGUCCUGCUACAGGCUAUGCGUGGAACCAUUGAUGAGAGAGCAAUAAAUAAGAAAAGAGUUCUUAACCCAUGGGAGAGGAUGAUGUGUCUCAACUCUGCAAAGGCCAUUGGAUGUACUGUUGUCAACAUUGGCAUGCAGGAUUUAGUGGAAAGAAGGGUAUGUCUUGUAUUCCUCACUUGUUAUCCUCUCUUAUAGGCUAUGAAAGUAGUGUGAUUGGUAUAGAAAUGUUGCAGAGCUCUAAACUAUCCUUUUUGUAGUAACCUAAAUCAUGACGUUUCCCUUUGAUUCUAUCAUAUCCUGUAUAGUGAUAUAAAAUAUUGUUGUGAUGAAUUGGCAGGUAAAUCUGGGUACCAAAUACUUUUAUCAUUGCUAAAUGUUUCUUAUCCUUUGUGCUUCUUCACUGUAUCCUUCCAGAUAAGCAACAAUUGCUAAUACAAUUUUUGUUCGAUGGGCUAAUUGAGUUGUAGGACUGAAUACAAUGUUACCGAGGGCACUUCAAUGGAGAUUGAGAGAACAUGUGCAGUGGAAGUCGGUUACAAGAUGGUAAAGAACAAGCAUAUACAGAGUUCAGACUUCAUGUGCACCUUUGCUAUUGCUAGAUGCUUCUCAUGGGACCGAUCAUGAUCCAUGAGCCAUGGCCUCUUCAGUAAUAACCAGUGGCCAAUAAAAGAUGUCAAAUAACGCACUUUGUAAUAGUCAAUAUAACAGACGAGCUCAACUUUUCGUCACAGAUGAAGAACCAACCAGGCACAAAGGGGGCUCAUUCUACUGACUGUGCCCCAUUUACGGACCUAAUGGACAAUGGUAAUAAUCAGCGUCGUCCCGAGCAAAAGCAACAUAGUGGUCAAUGGUGGUAUGCCCGAAUGUUUGUCGACAAAAAGGGAUAGUGUCUAGAGAGGCGUCGUUUAGCCCACCAAGAAAAGACGCUUGCACACCAUACAUGCUGAACAUGAACCACGCACUGAAUAUCUGUGUACAUGAUGAUUCCGAGUCAUAUAGAAUGACAAAUGAUGUUUCUCCGGGUAGCCAUAACUGUUUAUCAGUCAAUAUUGUUUAAGGCCCAAAUUCUUGGUUGAACUGUUGGUCAAUUUCAAAUAUUAGUUCAUGAUAUUCAGGUCCAAUGAUAAGUAACAACUUAUUUCAGCAAGUUGGAAACACAUUUGGAUCAGGAUUAGUACAUCAUGCAUCUGCUAUCUUAUUUUUCCUUUAUAAUCGUAAUAGAUGUCUCUAGCUUGAGUAUGCUGUUAGUGCACUUCCACUUCCUUCAGAAUACAUUUCUUCAGAGAAACUGUUGUUGUGUGCAGAAUAUAUUUCUUCAGUGAAUGUGUUAUUGUGCAGAAACUACAAUGAAGUUGUCGGCGCAGAAGUCCAGUGAACUCAGCUACAUCGGAUUGGGUCAAAGUGGGUGGUCCUCCAAACGGUCUAUUGUGCAUCGGAGGUCACGUUCAUCUCUGGCAAAUUCCACCGCAGCCUCGGUCGUACGUGUGCUUCAAUCUAUUUUCGUAUUGUUUUCUUGGCGUUUGACAAAUGCUUCACAAACUAAGCUCAUGUUAAACAUGCACAACUAUGUAAGAUAGUUUCACCUAUUUCUUAUGUACUUGCACUUUGACAUCCAUUGCCAAUCUGUAUUGUUUCUAAACUGAAAUGAUGUCCUCAUGUUCACUGAUUACCUAUAAACUGAGAUGAUGCCCUCCUGUACUACUAUGGUCUUUCAUAUGCUGGUUGUGCACAAAUGGCAUUAGCUUGUCCUUUUCUACUUUAUUUGUUCAGUUCACUGGAAAUGGAAAUACCGCCUGAAACUUUUAUGCACGUGCCACCUUCGAUCUUCAGUUCCUUGAUAUAUCUUGUUAAGCUUACCUGCAAAGGUUAUCAUAAACCAUAACUAUCAAACAUGCAUUGCACUCUGACCUGAUGUAGUAAUUCGCAACAGUAGUGCCACGGUUCAGUUCAGCAAGGAGACCAACUACCUCUACAAUGUCCACUCCUACUGGUCUCUGACCUGUCAAACAAGAAGACAUGGUGCAGCUAGCUGCUGAAAAGGAGAUGACCGUGGUCCCCUUGAUAACGAAGAUGAGGACGCAGUAGACCAAGCUUUCUGCGUUCUCCACUCGCAUGCACAAGGAGUUCGGCAAGAUGGCCAAUGUUGUCAAGAACCAGGUCACUGGCAACUACUACAUGGCUGACUUGACCAAACCCGCUCUUGCAAGACUUACAAUUUACCACAACCUGCUAAAUGAUGAAUAUAAUGAAUGAUGCGCUCAGCAGACUGGUUGUGCCAGUAGGUUCAACAUUUGUACCCCAUGACUAUGUUUCCAGAACUGAUUGGGACAUUCCCCCUUUUCUUUAGAGAUGAAGGGACCAUUUCUACUCCCUCUGUGCCGUGUGCAUGAUUAUUCAUUAUACUCAUGUUCAUUUCUUGUUAUGUUUCUGAACCAUGUAUAUCAUUUAUGUGUGUGAACCGGUAGUGUCCUUUAAAAAUACAUAUUGUGGUGCAUCAAUUUCUUCAUGG